rnacentral:rRNA from 1 species
CCUACGGGAGGCAGCAGUAGGGAAUAUUGCACAAUGGGGGAAACUCUGAUGGAGCAACGCCGCGUGAGUGAUGACGGCCUUCGGGUUGUAAAGCUCUGUCGUCAGGGACGAUAAAGACCGUACCUGAGUGAAAAUCCACUGCUAACUUCGUGCCAGCAGCCGCGGUCUUACUAAGGUGGCGAGCGUUGUCCGGAUUUACUGGGCGUAAAGGGAGCGUAGGCGGACUCUUAAGUCAGAUGUGAAAGCCUCGGGCUCAACCUGGGUGGUGCAUUUCAAACUGGAAGUCUAGAGUGCAGGAGAGGAGAAUGGAAUUCCUAGUGUAGCGGUGAAAUGCGUAGAGAUUAGGAAGAACACCAGUGGCGAAGGCGAUUCUCUGGACUGUAACUGACGCUGAGGCUCGAAAGCGUGGGGAGCAAACAGGAUUAGAUACCCUAGUAGUC